rnacentral:rRNA from 1 species
AUUGAACGCUGGCGGCAGGCCUAACACAUGCAAGUCGAGCGGAUGAAGGGAGCUUGCUCCUGGAUUCAGCGGCGGACGGGUGAGUAAUGCCUAGGAAUCUGCCUGGUAGUGGGGGAUAACGUCCGGAAACGGGCGCUAAUACCGCAUACGUCCUGAGGGAGAAAGUGGGGGAUCUUCGGACCUCACGCUAUCAGAUGAGCCUAGGUCGGAUUAGCUAGUUGGUGGGGUAAAGGCCUACCAAGGCGACGAUCCGUAACUGGUCUGAGAGGAUGAUCAGUCACACUGGAACUGAGACACGGUCCAGGCUCCUACGGGAGGCAGCAGUGGGGAAUAUUGGACAAUGGGCGAAAGCCUGAUCCAGCCAUGCCGCGUGUGUGAAGAAGGUCUUCGGAUUGUAAAGCACUUUAAGUUGGGAGGAAGGGCAGUAAGUUAAUACCUUGCUGUUUGGACGUUACCAACAGAAUAAGCACCGGCUAACUUCGU